rnacentral:rRNA from 1 species
AGUGAACGCUGGCGGCAGGCCUAACAUAUGCAAGUCGAACGGCAGCACAGAGGAGCUUGCUCCUUGGGUGGCGAGUGGCGGACGGGUGAGGAAUACAUGGGAAUCUGCCCAAUCGUGGGGGAUAACGUAGGGAAACUUACGCUAAUACCGCAUACGACCUACGGGUGAAAGCGGCGGACCGCAAGGCGUCGCGCGAUUGGAUGAGCCCAUGUCGGAUUAGCUAGUUGGCGGGGUAAAGGCCCACCAAGGCGACGAUCCGUAGCUGGUCUGAGAGGAUGAUCAGCCAAACUGGAACUGAGACACGGUCCAGACUCCUACGGGAGGCAGCAGUGGGGAAUAUUGGACAAUGGGCGCAAGCCUGAUUCAGCCAUGCCGCGUGAGUGAAGAAGGCCCUCGGGUUGUAAAGCUCUUUUGUCCGGAAAGAAAAGCUUUCGGUUAAUACCCGGAAGUCCUGACGGUACCGGAAGAAUAAGCACCGGCUAACUUCGUGCCAGCCGCCGCAGUAAUAC